rnacentral:sRNA from 1 species
GCUGCUGCUGAUGCUGCUGCUGCUGAUGCUGCUGAUGCUGCUGAUGCUGCUGAUGCUGCUGAUGCUGCUGAUGCUGCUGCUGCUGCUGCUGCUGAUGCUGCUGCUGCUGAUGCUGCUGAUGCUGCUGCUGAU